rnacentral:rRNA from 1 species
AACGAACGCUGGCGGCGCGCCUAACACAUGCAAGUCGAGCGCCUCAUCUUCGGGUGGGGAGCGGCGCACGGGUGAGUAACGCGUGGGAACCUGCCUUUGGGUUCGGGACAACGGCUGGAAACGGCCGCUGACACCGGAUACGGCCGUCGUGAGACGGCGAAAGGUCACGCCCGAAGAUGGGCCCGCGUCCGAUUAGCUAGUUGGUGGGGUAACGGCCCACCAAGGCUGCGAUCGGUAGCCGGUCUGAGAGGAUGAUCGGCCACACUGGGACUGAGACACGGCCCAGACUCCUACGGGAGGCAGCAGUGGGGAAUCUUGGACAAUGGGGGCAACCCUGAUCCAGCGACGCCGCGUGGGGGAUGAAGGCCUUCGGGUUGUAAACCUCUUUCGACAGUGACGAAGUUUCUCUUUGGAGGGGUGACGGUAGCUGGAGAAGAAGUACCGGCCAACUACGUGCCAGCAGCCGCGGUAAUACGUAGGGUACUAGCGUUGUCCGGAUUUAUUGGGCGUAAAGAGCUCGUAGGCGGCGUGUUGCGUCGGGAGUGAAAUUCUGCUGCUUAACGGUGGGGUUGCUUUCGGUACGGGCGUGCUUGAGUGCGGUAGGGGAGACUGGAAUUCCUGGUGUAGCGGUGAAAUGCGCAGAUAUCAGGAGGAACACCGGUGGCGAAGGCGGGUCUCUGGGCUGUUACUGACGCUGAGGAGCGAAAGCAUGGGGAGCGAACAGGAUUAGAUACCCUGGUAGUCCAUGCUGUAAACGUUGGGCGCUAGGUGUGGGGACUGGCUCACGGUUUCUGUGCCGUAGCUAACGCAUUAAGCGCCCCGCCUGGGGAGUACGGCCGCAAGGCUAAAACUCAAAUGAAUU